GAUGAUUGAUUUGAAAUUAACUUUUCCAUUACAGGUUACGAGCUUUAGUCCAACCUUAUCUUGCUUUCAGUCCUGGCCUUGUGAGAGAUACCUCGGCAUAUCAUGGCUGCGCUGAACUUUUUCAGCUGUGAUGCAGAUGGAGGGGUUUGAAUACUUGAAGGAAAGUUGUUCCUCUGUCUUGACUAAACUCCUGCAGUACAUUGCUAGGAUCAGCAAGCACUCCGCAAUUAGUAGCAGCCACUUCAAUAAGGCUUUCCUAGAUGGUCGUGACCUCAACAGUAGACAUGUGAAGCAUCUACAGUGAAAUUUUUCUUUGUACCUGGUAGGUUGUUUUUCACAUCAAAAAUAAAUGAUUAAAACUGAGCAAAAGCCUUAAUUCAAAUAGAAUAGUGGUUUAAGUCCA